ACUAGUGCCCGCACCAGGAGGCGCUACGGUGGUGAGUGCCGAUCCGCUUUGCAGAACCCAGGAAAACAAUAAAACCCUAUUUUCUCAGCAGUCGCUGAACUGUUUGUUCUGAAACGUUAGGGUUUCAUAAACGAGGUAAUGACGCAGAUACACACACACAUACGCAGCGUUAAUUGGAGCUUCCGGUCUAUGUCGCCUUUAAAGCUAUGGUUAAGUUCACAUUACCAGGGCUGCUGUGAGGACACAGAAAUACACAGAUUUGUUGUUUGCAUGUAUAUCAACUCUAGGACCACAUAAUCAGCUUGUGGCCAUACAACAUGAGUGAGAAGGUUGGGAUUGGAAUCCAUGAGUGUUGCAACUGAAACAAAGCGAAGCCAAAAACUGAGCGUGUGCACAUGUGGGCUGUUUCAGAAGACAGAUGUGUUGUGUUGACAAUGUGACUCGCUAUUUUAAGACAUUUAAGACCAUGUGGCCAUUGUGGUUGUCCUUGUACCAUAAUUUGUUCUUGUAUGUUUUCUCUGCAUGUUUUUAAUACGAGUCUUUAGUGAGUCUGGUAUGGAAACUGGUCGCCCAACAUGUGCUGCAUUCAUUCACUAAAGACAGGCAGGGCAUAUUACAGUACAUACAAGCCUCCUGUGGUUUCACAUUAAACUACAGCCACCAGUUACUCGACAGCAUCACCUCAUUUAUUUAUAUCAAUAUUUCCAAUUACACUUAAUAUCUGAUCUCACCCGCUAAAUUUAACGAGUUUCCAAGAAAGACUUGGCUGCACUGUUUGGUUUUGUUCCAGGUCCAUUGUGCAUGUGACUGUGUGACAAGUCAUCUAGAAUUGUGUCUGAGCUGGCAGACAUCAUCACCAUUUUGAAAAUAUGUAGAAGUAGAAGAAUCCCCGUUCCAGUUGCAGUAAAAGUAUCUGAAAAUGUGUCAUCAAGCUUAACGGAGGUUAACUUUGUGUUUGACUUCACAGGAGUCCGUUACCUGCUGGAUUCACCAACAGGACGAGAGGGCUCAGGAGUGACACAUCUUCCUCUAAGUUUGCCUGAGGCUCUGGUGCUGACAUGCCAUUUAAUGAGAUGCUCAAUUCCCUAAAGGAGACCCAGACUGAACUGUUGCUCCUGAUCUCCUGUCAAAACUUUCCCAGGAGGCUCCGUCUUGAGGUCGCCUUGCAUAUCAAAGCAAAUGGACAGUAGGCAGAUGGCGUUCACUGGGAGCUGGGAGUAUGCAGAGUGGCUGGAGCAACUUCCAAAAAAAAAAUCUGCAUUCAAAAGACUGAGCAGAAUAAAAGGAAUCCCAUGGUGAGUCUUGGGAUCUUUCUGGAACAGUCAGCUUUGAAGUGCGAUGUGGUGAACCAGUCUUGGUCAGAAACACCCUGCUGCAUCAGCAGUGACGAACAAUUCAAUGUGGCGUCCCCUUUCUUCUCAGCUCCAACGUGUGCAGGCCCUCCUGUCGACCCUGGGCAUGCUGCGUUCCGACUUUGUGGGCCAUCUCUGUGGCAGUGAUGUCAAUUAGGGCGUACUUGGUGGAGCUCUUCCCUGUUGAAACAAGUAUUUGAGCCAAGUCAACUUCAGAAAAUGCUGAAUUUUGACACCGGUUCCAUUUUCUAAACAAACAUGACAGAGGGUUCAGAGUAAAGCGGAUCUCUGCCCUUACUGCCAACAUGAUGGCUCGAGGUAUGCGCCCGAGUGUCACUACAUUAAACAAGAAUAUGCAAAUGA